rnacentral:rRNA from 1 species
UACGGGGGGGGGCAAGCGUUGUUCGGAAUUACUGGGCGUAAAGGGCUCGUAGGCGGCCAACUAAGUCGGACGUGAAAUCCCUCGGCUCAACCGGGGGAACUGCGUCCGAUACUGGAUGGCUUGAGUUCGGGAGAGGGAUGCGGAAUUCCAGGUGUAGCGGUGAAAUGCGUAGAUAUCUGGAGGAACACCGGUGGCGAAGGCGGCAUCCUGGACCGACACUGACGCUGAGGAGCGAAAGCCAGGGGGAGCAAAACGGG